CACUCUUUGGAAGCACAUAGACUAAAAUGGAAAUAUACAGAGAAGAUUAGCAAGGCCCCUGCGCAAGAAUGACACUAGUGUUGAGUGCGAAUAUUCGAAAUGUGAAUUUUU